GGAGAGAUGGCCGAGUGGUUGAUGGCUCCGGUCUUGAAAACCGGUAUAGUUUAACUAUCGAGGGUUCGAAUCCCUCUCUCUCCU
rnacentral:tRNA from 2 species